rnacentral:rRNA from 1 species
UUGGAGGGCAAGUCUGGUGCCAGCAGCCGCGGUAAUUCCAGCUCCAAUAGCGUAUAUUAAAGUUGUUGCAGUUAAAAAGCUCGUAGUUGAACUUCGGGGUUUACCCAUUGGUCAGGCUUAAUUGUCUGUACUGGUGAGAUAAAUCUCUACCUUCUGAGGAACUUUCAUGCCAUUUAUUUGGUGUGAUUGGAAAUCAGGACUAUUACUUUGAAAAAAUUAGAGUGUUUAAAGCAGGCUAACGUCUGAAUAUAUUAGCAUGGAAUAAUGAAAUAGGACGGCUUGGUUCUAUUUCGUUGGUUUCUAGGAUCACCGUAAUGAUUAAUAGGGAUAGUUGGGGGCAUUAGUAUUCAAUUGUCAGAGGUGAAAUUCUUGGAUUUAUUGAAGACUAACUACUGCGAAAGCAUUUGCCAAGGAUGUUUUCAUUAAUCAAGAACGAAAGUUAGGGGAUCGAAGACGAUCAGAUACCGUCGUAGUCUUAACCAUAAACUAUGCCGACUAGGGAUCGGACGAAGUUAAUUUUAUAAUGACGCGUUCGGCACCUUACGGGAAAC